ensembl:lncRNA
GUGCUAAUUAAAGGCACAGUAGCACCUAGACGAUCCUGCUGCAAAGCUUGCCUUUUGGCCCCAUCUGUUCAGCAUUUUAAUGAAUAACUUGACUAAAGCUACAAAAGGCAAGUUUAUUAAAAAUGUGUGUGUCCUAAGGCUGAGAAAGAAUGAUUAUACUAAAUGACAGAAUUUAAAAAAUCUAAACAGGCAGAAAAAUGGGGCAGAUGAACUAUGUAAGAUUGUAAAAUCUUACACUGCAGUUAUUAAAAAAAAAUGUGCAAGGUCAAGAUAGACCCUGGUGCUGCCUCGUGUAGCAAACACCGGGGAAAGAAAGCCUGCGGCCCCCGUCCCAGCAAACUGGGUGCCAGAGCUUGGGCCUGGGGGUCUUGGGGUCCCGUCUCCCCAGCAGCCUGUGUGGAGACAGCGUGGUUCCUAAGACGCUGCCCUAACCUGGAGGCAGCCCGGCAGAAACUGCCCUGAGACUUGGGAGCUGACAGAAAAAACGGUGUAAAUGCAGCAGGUGGGAGGGCAGAAACAUGAGCGGUGAAGCGAGAGGAGCCAGGGGCGCCGAUGAGCUGGGGGCGGCCGCCCCGCAGACCAGGCCGCUGGUUUAGAGCCUUUCAGUGAGUCGCACCUAGGAGAGAACGGGAACCAGGCUGUAGCAACCCAAGGAGAGCGGUGUCCAGGGUGGUGAGUGAGCCUCCAGGAGGAGACACAACAGCGCACCCAGAGCUUUCCAGGCAAAGCUGCCUCGAUGGACUGGUCCUCCGCCCUCAGCUCUCCUUCCUAGAACACAGUAACGCUGUCCGUGGGCACCUUCGACUUUCCCCUCACAAACGUUCCCACAAUAACUCAGACUUCGACUUCAGUACCAAGGGCCUGUUGAGUGACUGAAAUGCUUGGUGUCGGUGUCCUGCUUCUGCCUAUUGAACCCCUGUGACCAUGUGAGCAGUCUCCACGGCGGUUCCAUGUGCUCCUGAGAAGAAGGGAUUUUUCUCUAUUUUAGGUGAGGCUAAACGCUUCUCCAAAAGCUGCUGCUGCUGCUAAGUCGCUUCAGUCGUGUCCGACUCUGUGCGACCCCAUAGACGGCAGCCCACCAGGCUCCCCCGUCCCUGGGAUUCUCCAGGCAAGAACACUGGAGUGGGUUGCCGUUUC